AUUGAACGCUGGCGGCAGGCCUAACACAUGCAAGUCGAGCGGAUGAAGGGAGCUUGCUCCUGGAUUCAGCGGCGGACGGGUGAGUAAUGCCUAGGAAUCUGCCUGGUAGUGGGGGAUAACGUCCGGAAACGGGCGCUAAUACCGCAUACGACCUGAGGGAGAAAGUGGGGGAUCUUCGGACCUCACGCUAUCAGAUGAGCCUAGGUCGGAUUAGCUAGUUGGUGGGGUAAAGGCCUACCAAGGCGACGAUCCGUAACUGGUCUGAGAGGAUGAUCAGUCACACUGGAACUGAGACACGGUCCAGACUCCUACGGGAGGCAGCAGUGGGGAAUAUUGGACAAUGGGCGAAAGCCUGAUCCAGCAAUGCCGCGUGUGUGAAGAAGGUCUUCGGAUUGUAAAGCACUUUAAGUUGGGAAGAAGGGCAGUAAGUUAAUACCUUGCUGUUUUGACGUUACCAAAAGAAUAAGCACCGGCUAACUUCGUG
rnacentral:rRNA from 1 species